AUACGUAGGUGGCAAGCGUUAUCCGGAUUUACUGGGUGUAAAGGGCGCGUAGGCGGGGAUGCAAGUCAGAUGUGAAAUCUAUGGGCUUAACUCAUAAACUGCAUUUGAAACUGUGUCUCUUGAGUGCUGGAGAGGUAGACGGAAUUCCUUGUGUAGCGGUGAAAUGCGUAGAUAUAAGGAAGAACACCAGUGGCGAAGGCGGUCUACUGGACAGUAACUGACGCUGAGGCGCGAAAGCGUGGGGAGCAAACAGGAUUAGAUGCCCUGGUAGUCCACGCUGUAAACGAUGAAUACUAGGUGUGGGGGGACUGACCCCCUCCGUGCCGCAGUUAACACAAUAAGUAUUCCACCUGGGGAGUACGGCCGCAAGGUUGAAACUCAAAUGAAUUGACGGGG
rnacentral:rRNA from 1 species